GGCCUCGUGGCGCAAUGGUAGCGCGUCGCUCUCCUAGUCGCUGAAAAGCAACUCUUAUUCUUAAAGCGGAAGUUGUGAGUUCGAGUCUCACCGGGGUCG
rnacentral:tRNA from 1 species